rnacentral:rRNA from 1 species
GCAGACCUUCUGGAUGGCCUGCUAGACUCUAUCAUUGCUCGACUCGGCUCCUUCCAUGAUCUUCUUGCCUUUGAAGCCACUUGCCAUUCUUGGCGUGCCGUGUUUUCUUCAUGUUCAUGCAAAUAUGCCUUGGCAGCAUCAUUCCCACCUCUCCUUCUCCAACCCGAUCUCUCUUUGAUCUCUACACAUUCAGGCCCCUUAAAAAAGUUCAUGGUGUCCACAUGCCCAUGUCAUGUCACUGAUAUAGCCAAUCAAGGCACCACCUACAAGUACUUUGAGAUUCCAAUAUUAUGGUGGUCUCGUGGAAAUAAUGCCUCACCAAGUCCUAGAGAAUGGUUCGGCUUCAGUGGGGCUUCCUAUGGUCAUCUUAUUUUUUCCAGCAAUAAAUCAUGUGUCGUUUUUGAUGUGUUCACACGCUUUAGUGUCUCAUCUCCACAACUGCCGGUCUUGGAAAGCACUGGGCUCAUCUACGGUGCGCUCACAGCUCCUCUCUCAUCACCUAACUCACAUCUCAUAUCACAAAAUCUGUUUUGGCGUGUUGGAAGCCAAUCUUGGGUGGGACAUUCUCUUUAUCAUGGACCAAUCAAGCAAAUCGUGAUCUUCCAAGGGAAAGUGUUUGGCAUGGACUCUGAUUGCAGGCUCUUCAAAGUGGACUUGACACCCCAGAUAAGAAUACAAGAACUCCUAGUUAUAAAGUCACGCAUGAUCAAUAAACGGCAUUUUUCUAAUGCAUGGUUGGUGGCAUGUGGCGAUAUGCUUCUCUUAGUUGGCUUUCGAAGAAUUGAUGGAAUAAUGGGGAGAACCUUCGAAGUCUUCCGCCUUGACCUAUCGACUGAGCCUGCAUUAUGGCUAAAGAUGGAGAAGUUGGAGAAUUGGGCAAUAUUCAUCAGCAGAGAUCAGAGAAGUCAGGCAUUGUCUUGCAUUAAUCCAGAGAAAUGGGGAGGGAGGAGCAACUGCAUAUACUGCUAUGACUGGAAGUCUAAACAUUGGAUUGCACUUGAGUUGGGCAAGCAAUGGCGGAGAGAUGGCUUCGAACUCGAGUCAAAUGUGUGGGUUACGAUGGACUGCGACACAAGGGCACGACCUAUGUGGGUUAUCCCCAGCAUGUUCUCUCUGCGUCGGCACACCAUCAUCACCAACUCUAUUUUUUAUAAGAGUAGAGACAAUACCCCACCAAGUCCUCUAGAAGGGUUUUGCUUCAAUGGUGUUGCCUAUGGUCAUCGCAUUUUUUCAAGAGAUAAAUCAUGCCUCAUUGUUGAUGUGUUCACAGGUGUUAGUGUCUCAUCCCCACAACUACCGGUUGUUAAGGACACCGAGCUCUUCUAUGCUGCCCUCACUGCUCAUCUAGCAUCACCUAACUCACAUCUCAUUGUCGAUAUCGGAUCACGCAAUUUGUUUUGGCGUGUUGGUAGUCAAUAUUGGGUGGGACGUUCUCCUGUUGAUGGACCAAUAAAGCAAAUUGUGGUUUUCAAAGGGCAUGUCUUUGGCAUCGAUAAUGAUCUCAAACUCUUCAAUGCGCAGUUGACACCCCGGAUUCACAUACAAGAAAUACCAGUUAUGGAGUCAAGCAUGAUUAAAAAAUGGCAUCGUUCUAAUGGAUGGUUGGUGACUUGUGGCGAUAUGCUUCUCUUGGUGGCCUUGCGGGGACCUAUUAUAGUAACAGCGGUAACCUUCGAAGUCUUCUGCCUUGACCUAUCGACUGAACCUGCAUCAUGGCUGAAGGUGGAGAAGCUAGAGAAUUGGGCAAUAUUCAUUAGCAUCGAUAAGAGAAGUCAGGGAUUGUAUUGCAUGAACCCGGAGAUAUGGGGAGGGAGGAGCAACUACAUAUAUUGCGAUAAUCAUGACUCUAAACGUUGGGUUGCACUAGAGUUGGGCAAGCCAGUGCAGGGAGAUGGCUCCACCUCGACAUUCAAUCCAAACGUCUUCAUAUUCACGGGUCGUAACAGUAGGGUGCAACCUAUGUGGGUUGUCCCUAGCAUGCUCUCCUUGUGC